UAACUCAGUUAAAAGUUCUUUAGAUAGCCACCCUGGCUUCUUUAGGCACCUUCCAUGUUUCCGUCUCAUUGGUAUUGCCUGAAGUUGUGCUUUUACUAUCUCCCUCUUAACAAACUCCCAGCCAUCAUGAACUCCCUUUCCUUUUAGUAUUACUGUCCAUGGGAUCUCACCCAGCACUUCCCUAAGUUUUAUGAAGUCGGCUUUCUUAAAGUCAAGAAAUUGAGUCCUAGUAUGCUUGGCUGCUCCUUUCCGCUGUAUAGUAAACUUCAGAAGAGCAUGAUCACUCGCGCCUAAUGAUCCUUCCACUUCUACCCCACUAACCAGGUCAUCAACAUUGGUUAGGACCAGAUCUAAAAUGGCUGUUCCUCUUGUUGCUUCUCCCACUUUCUGGACAAUGAAGUUGUCUGCAAGGCCAGUGAGGAAUCUGUUUGACCUUAUGCUCUUGGCUGAGUUUGACAUCCAACAAAUAUCCGGGUAAUUGAAGUCCCCCAUUACUACUAUCUCCCUUCCUUUUGCAUGCUUGGCCAUCUGUUCCAGGAAGGCAUCAUCUAUGUCCUCCGUUUGGCUUGGGGAUCUAUAGUAAACUCCCACAAUGAGGUCACUGUUAUUCUUCUCUCCCUUAAUUUUGACCCAAAUGCUCUCAUUUUGGCUUUGGGGUUCUAAAUCUUGGAUCUCUUCACAGGUAUACACAUCCCUGACAUAUAACGCCACUCCUCCUCCUUUCUUGUCUGGUCUGUUUCACUGAAAUAGAUUGUAUCCCUCCAUUAUUACAUUCCAGUCGUGGGACUUAUCCCCACCAGGUUUCAGUGAUGCCUAUUAUGUCAUAUUUAGUUUUCUGUACCAAGAGCUCAAGCUCAUCUUGUUUAUUUCCCAUGCUUUGCGCAUUAGUGUACAGACAUUGAAGUCCAUCAAUCAUUCCCCCGUGUCUCUUAUUUAAGGAUUUUUUCCUCCCACCACUAGGUCUGUGUGCUGUUUGCUCCAUUUGGUCUAUGACAUUUGGAUGAUCAUCUUCAUCAAUUGAUAGACUCCUACCUUCAGGAGCACUGUCUCCGUCCCCCACAUUAGUCAGUUUAAAGCCCUCCUGAUGAGGUUUCUGAGAUUUUUGGCAAAAACAUUUCUCCCAACCUUUGUGAGGUGCAGCCCAUCGCUUGCCAGAAGUCCAUCUUCAAGAAACUGCAGUCCGUGAUCUAAGAAUUCAAACCGUUCCUGUUUACACCAUUUGCGAAGCCAGCUGUUCACUUCCACUAUUUUCCCCUCUCUCCCUGGGCCACGUCGUUCAACUGGGAGGACAGAUGAGAUGACAAUUUGUGCAUUUAAUUGCUUCAAUUUCCUGCCCAGAGCCUCGUUGUCUCUUUUGAUCUUCUGCAGGCUAUUGCUUGCAGUGUCAUCGGUUCCCACAUGAACCAAGAGAAAGGGGUAUUUGUCAGUGGGUUUUAUGAUUCCUUGCAGUCGUUCAGUUACAUCUUGGAUCUUAGCCCCGAGGAGACAGCACACUUCCCGAGACAUCUUGUCAGGCCCACAGAUCACUGCUUCUGUUCCCCUCAGUAGGGAAUCCCCUAUCACCACUACAUGCCUCCUCUUAGGUUUGGUUGGGGUUCUUCCGUGAGCUGUCCGUUCCAAGGUCGCCUGCACAUUCCCUGAGGACUGACUUUGCUGCUUGUCUUCAUAUACCUGAUGGACUGUAAUGAGGGAGAGAUCCUCAAAUGGAGUCUGCUCUUCGUCUUCCAUGCUAGGGGAGAGGACCUCAAAGCGAUUGUGUAUUUCUAAACAAUCAGAGCGAACCCUGGGCCUCCUACUUCUUUGAGUCACGUUUCUCCAAAUAUCUGGCUCCUGUGUUGGUGAACUAGCCUCCUUCUCAGGGGAGUCCCGUCUCCUCCUUGGUGGAGACGGUGUGCUCUGUUGCUUCCAAGAAGAGCUCCAGCUCUCUAAUUCUUUGGAGCAUAGCUACACGUUCCUCCAGUUGCUGGACUUUGUCUUCUAAGAGGGCAAUCAACAUGCAAUUGCUGCAGGUAAAGCUGCCUGCAACCUUUGGCAAGAUGGCAAACAUUGUGCAGGAACCGCAGGCGACUGCAGCUGUUCCCUCCCUCUCCAUCUUGAGAACGUGUCGUUGGGGGUGGCUACAGCGGUCCUCCAUCAUAAAAAGCGUGAAGACAGGACAAAUAACUCCCCCCCCCAAAAAAACCUAGCUCUCCCCAAACAAACGUUUGAGACUAGCUCCCCUAAAUCUAAAAGAUGGAUCAAACUUGCCCUGCAAGCUCUGAUAAGCUCCUCCCACAGCUAAUCACCUGCCUCAACAGAAACCCUGCCCCCUCUGACCUUUGCACAGGGAGAGCAGCUAAUCAGCCACAAAGAAACACACACACAAGAAAACCCUUUUUGCUCCUUCUUCAGCUGCUGCCGUGCAAGCUCUUUAUUAUAUAUAAAGGGACGCGGGUGGCGCUGUGGGUAAAACCUCAGUGCCUAGGACUUGCCGAUCGUAUGGUCGGCGGUUCGAAUCCCCGCGGCGGGGUGAGCUCCCGUCUUUCGGUCCCAGCUCCUGCCCACCUAGCAGUUCGAAAGCACCCCUGAGUGCAAGUAGAUAAAUAGGUACCGCUUUAUAGCGGGAAGGUAAACGGCGUUUCCGUGUGCUGUGCUGGUGCUGGCUCGCCAGCUACAGCUUCGUCACUCUGGCCACGUGACCCGGAAGUGUCUUCAGACAGCGCUGGCCCCCGGCCUCUUAAGUGAUAUGAGCGCACAACCCUAGAGUCGGACACGACUGGCUCGUAUGGGCAGGGGUACCUUUACCUUUACCUUUAUAACUUUAUUAAAUAAUGCAAUCAAAUUUCCAGAUAUAUCUGCAAAGAACACAAUUAUUUACAGUAUGUUGAACAUAAACUAUG